CAGUCGCCGCGGGAAUACGGAGGGGGCUAGCGUUGUUCGGUAUUACUGGGUGUAAAGCGCACGUAGGCGGCUUGGUAAGUUAGAGGUGAAAGCCUGGAGCUCAACUCCAGAAUUGCCUUUAAGACUGCCGAGCUAGCAGGUGAGAGAGGUAAGUGGAAUUCCGAGUGUAGAGGUGAAAUUCGUAGAUAUUCGGAAGAACACCAGUGGCGAAGGCGGCUUACUGGCUCAUACUGGACGCUGAGGUGCGAAAGCGUGGGGAGCAAACAGGAUUAGAUACCCCUGUAGUCCCCUGUCUCUUAUA
rnacentral:rRNA from 1 species